UACGAAGGGGGCUAGCGUUGUUCGGAAUCACUGGGCGUAAAGCGCACGUAGGCGGAUUGUUAAGUCGGGGGUGAAAUCCUGAGGCUCAACCUCAGAACUGCCUUCGAUACUGGCGAUCUUGAGUCCGGAAGAGGUUGGUGGAACAGCUAGUGUAGAGGUGAAAUUCGUAGAUAUUAGCUAGAACACCAGUGGCGAAGGCGGCCAACUGGCCCGGAACUGACGCUGAGGUGCGAAAGCGUGGGGAGCAAACAGG
rnacentral:rRNA from 1 species